CCUACGAGUGUCAGCAGUGAGGACUAUUGGUCAAUGGCCGAGAGGCUGAACCAGCCAAGUCGCGUGAGGGAAGACGGCCCUACGGGUUGUAAACCUCUUUUAUCGGGGAGCAAAGCGCACCACGUGUGGUUCAUUGAGAGUACCCGAAGAAAAGGCAUCGGCUAACUCCGUGCCCGCAGCCGCGGUAAUACGGAGGAUGCGAGCGUUAUCCGGAUUUAUUGGGUUAAAAGGGUGCGCAGGCGGAGGUGCAAGUCAGCGGUCAAAUUGCGGGGCUCAACCCCGUACUGCCGUUGAAACUGUAUCCCGUGAGUGCGCGAGAAGUAUGCGGAAUGCGUGGUGUAGCGGUGAAAUGCAUAGAUAUCACGCAGAACUCCGAUUGCGAAGGCAGCAUACCGGCGCGCAACUGACGCUCAUGCACGAAAGCGUGGGUAUCGAACAGGAUUAGAUACCCCAGUAGUC
rnacentral:rRNA from 1 species